rnacentral:tRNA from 1 species
GAGAAAUCAAGUAGUAAAAGAGGCUUCUAACUUAUUUUUAAAGCGGUUAAACUCCGUUUAUUUCUCU